GGACCCGUAGCUCAGUUGGUCAGAGCUCCCGGCUCAUAACCGGUUGGUCGUAGGUUCGAGUCCUACUGGGUCCACCA
rnacentral:tRNA from 2 species